UGAGGGGAGAAGAUAUUUAAUUGAAACCCACACACAGGCUUCCCCACACGUGACUGCGGUGAGGGAGGCAGCUGCCUUCCCCUCCCCCGUCCUCCCCCCACCCCCCCAUGUAAAUUUCAUGAUUGCUUUCCGUGAUGUCAUUUUGAAAGAGGACAGACAAUAGCUGUGGGGAAAGGUAAGUCAAUGUUAUGUUCUUUUGCUGACAAAGGCAGAUACCCAGGGCUUAGCUUUUCCCCUUGGACAGAGGGGAGGGCUAGAGCAGAGAGGAUUUCUAAGAAAGCUCUCUUUGCAGAAAAAGCAGGUUGGGGGAUGUCUUUUUAAAUUGUUCUGAAGGACAAGGCUUUCUUCUCCCUGUCUGCCUGGGCUGUGUGUUCCUCCUCUUUCUCUGCCCUUCCUGCAUUUCUGAGAUUCUCAUGGGCAUGUUGUGUGUCUAAUAGAAAAGGCAUAAGGGGAGGAGGACACUGUGGAUCAAGACAAGAAACUUUAUCUGUAUUUCUGGAAAAGGAGCACAGAUGUGCCUGGCCAUGGGACACAGAAGAUCUGUGUCCAGGAAGGAUGCUGACCCCAUAUGCAGGUCUAUCUGAAGCAGAGACUUGGAGCUUGGCUGUUUCUUGUGGGACACACACUCCAGGUACCCAGAAGAGAUGAUCCUGGGAGCAUUUUGUCUUCUUGUCACAUACUUUCAAACUUCAGGAGCAACACCCAGGGAGCAUGUGUCUGUGGGAUCCAGGGGUAGCAUUUGCUGUUACUGUUCUCAGUUCCUCCUGUGUGUGUUUGUGUAGUUGGGAUGUGCAGUUGUUUGUAGUGCCAGUGUAACUGGGUUUUCAUGUUUAAAACUAGGAAGUCAGUUUGAGCUUUGAACACAGAGAUGCCAUUGCAUACACAUGUGCUCUGGAGGAGUUGGCUCUGUUCAUGAGAUUUAUAUUCUUUAUGAGUCAGGAUAAUAAUCAAGUAUAGGGAAGUUUGUGUAUGAGUGCUGUAGCUACUCAUUGCCUGCUCCUUUCAGACAUGGAUGCUUUCUUGUUUCAAUAUAAUCUUUGAAUCAGUGGAUAUCAUUGGCUGGUAAAGUUGGUUGUUUAAUUUCUGAAAUAAAGCUUCUAAGAAAUGGCUUGAAGAUUACAUGUGUCUGGUCAGACUGUGUUAGCUGUAAAAUAGCAAACAACAACAACAAUAAUAAUAAACAAUGACUGUGACUAUUAAAUUGUUCUUUUUUUUUUUUUUUUUUUUUGAGGGGGAGAGGAUGCAUUUGGUUCCACUGGCUUAAAAAAGAAUCUUAGUCCUGAGGGUAUCUUUGAGGCUAGUGGCCAAGUGAACAAAAAUAGGAAUGUGUUAAGGCAAACUUAGGAGGGGAGCAUCUAAUUGGCACUAAAGGGCUGUGCUAGUUUCUCUGGGGUGGCAACAGUGUGGGGUGUUGGGUCCUUACCUGUCAAGCUGUGUGUGUGUGUGUGUGUGUGUGUCUCCCUUCAGCCUCAGGCUCUUUGCCACUACAGCCUCUUUCCAUUGGCCCUUGGCUGUAAUUUUUACCUCAGUCCAUAUGGCUGUGUUAACUAACAAAUAAAAGAGUGGAAAACAAAGAUUAUGUACCCAGUAGUAUGCUGUUGUCAACUGAGGCAUGGCCCUACCCCUCCCAAAUUGUGUUCCUUGUGCAGAAGAGGGCAUUUGAGUCAGUUUACUUUCAUAAAGAAAGAAGCAGGGCUGGAGAGAUGGCUCAGCUGUUAAAGGCUAGGCUCACAACCAAAAAUAUAAGAAAGAAGCAGCUUCAUGGAAUCUUUUUGUAGAAAGGCUAUCUGAUUCCCAGGUACUUUGGUGGUGCUAGACUUCAAGGAAUUUGUUGAUCCACAGUGCUGAGCAAAAUUAGUGUUCAGGAGUUCAAGGAUCUGUAAGUGUUUUCAUCCCAAAUCAACCUGCUCUCCAUGCUCUUUAGAGUAAGAGUCCAGGUGUAGUCCUGAGAAUUCUUCUAGCUUCUGUUCAAACAGCAACUGAGGGUAUUGCCUGCAGACCUCUGGGUAGCCCCCAGAUGUGUAGAUUCUGUAUUCUUGUCUUAAACUCUCAGGGGCUGUAUGAUGAAAGGCCACUCUGAGAAGACCUUCCUCACUUUUGGAAUUACAAAGUGUUCUGUACUAAUAUUGUGGCAGUUUCUGCUUACAUUCUUGUGAGUGUUCAGAGAUGGCAGGGUGUACUGGAAUGAAGGUGCAGGCUUGACUGCAGUGGGCUACCAUGUUGGUCAUAGGGCUCACAAGGUGCUGCCUGGACCUCUCACUUCCCUUGAUUAGUCCUCCUUUGGUCCUGGUUAUCAAAUGUGCAGAUGAUGAUAAUGGGUGAUAUUGUAUGCGAGCAUGUAACAUGGAAUAAAGGCCAAAGCCAGGCCCAUAGAAAGACUGGCUCAGAACCCAGAAGGCCACCUUCUGGCAUAGCCAGACUUAGCAGUGGCUGGACUAUUUGGAAUGCUGGUUUGCAUGACCCAGCCCUGGAUGAGUACAAUCGAAAGGAGCCUACAGACUGACAAAGUGCCAGGAACCUAUUAGGCCUCCAAUAGCUGCUAACUGAAGCAAGCAGAUUGUUAGGGAUUGAAUCCUUCUUAGAUAAACUAAUGUAAAAGGCACCCCUGCUUUGGAAAAAUAGGUUCUUUAGGAUAGAGCAAUCCUACUACCUGGGCUGGAGGUAAAAGUAGGUUCAGGAGCAGUCAGAAUACCUUCGUUAGCAUUGGACUCAGAGUGGCAUGGGAGAGGGAGUUGAGAAGUGGCAGAGGUGGCUGCUUCUGGUGGCCCUGGCUCAUAGGUACUCUGAACACUGGUAAUAACUCCAAUAUUUUGUGCUCCACUAUCCUAACCCUAGAAAACCAGGGCAAAGUCACUGUUUGUUGGCUUUUCUCUGUGGAUCCCUGAGCAAAUCCUUUUUUCUUCCCUUCUUGUCUUAGGACUGCCUGUCUGCGUUUCCUGUGCACUUAAAAUUGAGUAAUCAAAAGUUCAUUGGUUACAGAUGUAAUUUUAAUUGAAAUUUUGUGGUCUGAGUUUAUAGGGAAGUUUGAGGGGGCAGCAUUAAAAGGGUUUUGAGGGGAAGGCUGAGCUCAGUGGAAGAGCAAGUGCCUAGCAAACACAAUGUCCUGGGUUAGGUGCCCAGCUAGGAGAUUGAAGGGAUAGGGGUGUGGCUCAAUUGUCAGGAUGCUUGCCUAGCAUGUAUGUGUGAAGGGCUGGGUUUGAUCCUUAGUACUGCACAAACUGGAGAUGAUACACCUGUAAUCCCAGCAGUUGGGAACCAGAGACAGGAAGGUCAGAAGUUCAUGGCCAUCCUUGGCUAUGUAGUAAACUUGAGCAUAGAAUAUAUGAAACACUGCUUCAGAAGAGG
rnacentral:lncRNA from 1 species